ACGCUGGCGGCAGGCUUAACACAUGCAAGUCGAACGGUAACAGGAGAAAGCUUGCUUUCUUGCUGACGAGUGGCGGACGGGUGAGUAAUGCUUGGGAAUCUGGCUUAUGGAGGGGGAUAACGACGGGAAACUGUCGCUAAUACCGCGUAGAGUCGAGAGACGAAAGUGCGGGACCGCAAGGCCGCAUGCCAUAGGAUGAGCCCAAGUGGGAUUAGGUAGUUGGUGGGGUAAUAGCCCACCAAGCCGACGAUCUCUAGCUGGUCUGAGAGGAUGACCAGCCACACCGGGACUGAGACACGGCCCGGACUCCUACGGGAGGCAGCAGUGGGGAAUAUUGCGCAAUGGGGGCAACCCUGACGCAGCCAUGCCGCGUGAAUGAAGAAGGCCUUCGGGUUGUAAAGUUCUUUCGGUAUUGAGGAAGGUUGUUGUGUUAAUAGCACGACAAAUUGACGUUAAACACAGAAGAAGCACCGGCUAACUCCGUGCCAGCAGCCGCGGUAAUACGGAGGGUGCGAGCGUUAAUCGGAAUAACUGGGCGUAAAGGGCACGCAGGCGGACUUUUAAGUGAGGUGUGAAAUCCCCGGGCUUAACCUGGGAAUUGCAUUUCAGACUGGGAGUCUAGAGUACUUUAGGGAGGGGUAGAAUUCCACGUGUAGCGGUGAAAUGCGUAGAGAUGUGGAGGAAUACCGAAGGCGAAGGCAGCCCCUUGGGAAUGUACUGACGCUCAUGUGCGAAAGCGUGGGGAGCAAACAGGAUUAGAUACCCUGGUAGUCCACGCUGUAAACGCUGUCGAUUUGGGGAUUGGGCUUUAAGCUUGGUGCCCGAAGCUAACGUGAUAAAUCGACCGCCUGGGGAGUACGGCCGCAAGGUUAAAACUCAAAUGAAUUGACGGGGGCCCGCACAAGCGGUGGAGCAUGUGG
rnacentral:rRNA from 1 species